CCAAGGGCAAAUCAGCAGAAAUGUUGAGACGCAAAACUGGGAGUCUAACGUGAUUAGGGAUCUCGGGGAUCCCUAAUCACCAUGAUAGUUCGGUUGCAG
rnacentral:ncRNA from 1 species